rnacentral:lncRNA from 10 species
GCCGCGGCUCAUCAAGUCCAUCCCUUCCCGCGCUCCCCGCAGGUUUCCCGCAGACAGUCGCACAGUACCCCUCACUCCACUUAAUUCGCUCCGCGUGCUCUGAAUCACAGAAAGGCAAACUUGCUAACAAAGAGGCGGCCCGCCCGCGUGCGGGGUUCCCGGGCGCGUCCCGCUGGCCAGGUGAGGACGGCGGGCACUGGGCACCGCAGCGGGGCGCGGGGCGGGCUGGAGGCGCGCGGACACUCCCCCGGCCGGCAAGGAAGGGGCGGGCCGAGGCGCGGGCCGUGUGCCGCUGGGUGGCCCUGCGAGCCGCCGCUCUCCGCCUCUCUAGGCUCAGCUUCCAUCACCGCGUGGCGGAGCCCGUGUCCGGGCCAGUGCUGACUUUGAGACUUUUCUGAUGGUGACUCAUGAUAUGCAUGGAAGCAUAAGAAAUGCUCACACGAAACAUUCAGAAAACUAAACUUACCCUUACGGUAUAUGAUGCUGUGAUGGUUAACACUGAGUGUCAACUUGAUUGGAUUGAAGGAUGUGAAGUAUUUUUCCUGGGUGCGUCUGUGAGGGUGUUGCCAAAGGAGAUUAACAUUUGAGUCAGUGGACUGGGGCAGGCAGACCCACCCUCAAUGUGGGUGGGCACCGUCUAAUCAGCAGCCAACAUGGCUAGAAUAAAACAGGCAGAAGAACAUGGAAGGACUUGACUUGCUGAGUCUUCUGGCCUUCAUCUUUCUUCCAUGCUGGAUGCUUCCUGCCCUCGAACAUGAGACUCCAAGUUCUUCAGCUUUUGGACACUUGGACUUACACCAGUAGUUUGCCAGGGGCUUUUGGGCCUUUGGACACAGCCUGAAGUCUGCAAUGUCGGCUUCCCUACUUUUGAGGUUUCGGGACUCGGACUGAUCCACCACUGGCUUCCUUGCUCCUCAACUUGCAGACGACCUAUUGUGGGACUUUACCUUGUGAUCCUCCACCCAGCCCCACGGUGGGCCUUGCCUCGUCUGUUAGGUGGUAUUUUCAUCUUUGGUCAGAUGACAGCCCCCAUGCUCCAAAAAUUCUCCUGCAGCCAGGGCUUGGAGAAUCCCGACCCCUCUCUGGCAUGAACCUCUCCUCAUCCAGGGUGGCUUGUGUGGUAGAGCCAGGGGAAUGGAGAAGAUGACCUCUGAAGCCUGAAGGCUCUUUGGGAAGCAGGACACAAACAUCCUGAAGAGCCAGCCUUGAGCUGGCUGCACAAGAGACUCAUAGACUUUGCGUCAACAUCCACCUCUCCAGGCUGCAGUGGGUGUACCUGUUCACCACCACCUCCAGCAGCACUGUCGCAGCGGAGCAGUUCUUACAGCCAAUGAGCUUCCACACCACCUCCCUGCAGUUCUCUGCAACCGAGGCUCCAUCCUGCACUGAUGGGCUGCCUGACACGUCGGCCUCAACAAGCAUUUCCAGCACAUUCUCAGCUUUCCUGCUCUGCUGGGCAAAACACAGGGUGAGAAGGGGAGAGGAAGAACGGGACUGUGGCCCAGUUCUAGGCUUGGAGUCUAGCGAGGAACACCAGGUGCCUGCAUUAAAAGGAUGGUUGGAGAGACAAAAGAGGAAAAUGAAUGCUUCCACGAAGCUCCCUCUUUGUGGCAGAAUCAGUCCAAUGGAGAAAUUCUGAAAUUCCAGUUUUACAAAGUUCUUCAAACUUACCUCAAGGAUGGCACCAGCUGAAGCUCAGUUGCCCUGUCUCUUAUGCACCAGUGCAUCUGCCCCAGAAACUCUUAUCUGGGGCUCAGUUUGCCCCCAUGUGGUAUAAGUCCCUCCAAAGAUUCCAUUUCUAGUUACUCGUCUCAAUGUCACAAUGAGAAAUAUUUCUGCAUAUUUCCUGCAAAGCGUCUCAUUAAAGAAAGUAUUGGUUUGAUUCAGAAAAUGCUAUGCUGUUCCAGCUUCACUUUGGAUCUAUAGUUUUAGAAAGUAUCCAACUCUGCUUCUAGUUUAAGCUGCCCUGUUAAAGAGUUAAUGGAAAAAACCCCACUAUGGUAUGAGGAAGGGGUGGGAAUUAACGUUUGGGUCCCAUUCUGUGCCUAAAACACUGGUUCCCUCUAUGUUUUGAGCCUGAAAUUGAGUCGUUCUUAUGGAAGGCAGAUGCUAGAGGAGCUUUCUUUGGGAUUCUCAUUACCCGUUUCCAUCAGACCAGGCCAUUAGAUGGUUGCUUCUAGAAGGAUGGUGCAGCCCUGAGUCUGCAGGGGGCAGACCGGUCACAAAAACCAGAGUGGAGCUGGGGGUCAGACUGGAGUUCAUUGGGUAGGUUCAGUUCACACCCUGGUGCACAGGGUCCACGAAGGCACAACAAGGCACAGGUGAGAGCCAGGAGGGCAAGCAGGGAUCCAAGUGUACACAGCCCAGGGAGCAAGACAAGCAGAGAGGCCUGGAGCCAGAAGGAGGCUCGGAAACAACGAUGCCAGCAGUGAGCUCACGGGUCAGAAGCUUCUGGCCCAAGGCUUUAUGGAGGCCAUGCCUGAGCUGAAUAUUGGUGGCUGAGCAGCCAAUAAACGGAACACAGAUGGGGCCAGGGCAGGGAAUUCCAGGCAGGAGGAACAGCCAGAGAGCAAAGGCAGGGAGGCUGGAAGCUUUGCUGUGUGAGGAUCUGUGUACACACAGGGAAUGCUUCACAGGCUGUAGAGACAGUGACUAGCUUCUGAGAUCAGAGUAGGCUGGGCUGAGUAAUGGGAAGGGUGGAGGGGGCAGAGACCCACAUUACAGCCCGUGGCCCUGAACCCAGGACAAGCCACGGGGGUGGAGGAGCAGGCAGGAGAUGCUCCACCACUGCUGGCAAGGAGCAGGGCAGCCUGCCCAAGGGGGUACUGCCUGGAGCAUCACUGACUUACCCCAUCUGCUGGCGAGGAUACAGAAGCUCAGCCCACAGGGCCACCAUGGAUGGCCCUAAAGGUUGUGUCCUAUGCAAGGGGACCACAGAAGGCUGGUGCCCUGGACAGUUGGCAAGAGGCUGAGCGCAGGGCAGUGAGGGAUGCUCGUGUGCCUGGGGAAAGCUUCCCUGGGCUUCCCUUUUUUUUCUCCAUCUUCACCCUCUCACCCCUCACCCCUCCUGACACCCUGUCCCUUGGGGGAGCACCUAACACCCCUGUGUCCACCUGAACCACACCAGCCCUAACGUGCUGAAUCCCCGCUAAAUGAGCCCAGUGCUCAUCCAUCCAUCCGCGCAUCCGUUGUUCAGUGGGGAAAGUAGCACGUAGCAGGUCCGAGCACAGGCUCUGCAGCCAGAAUUCCUGGGUUCCAUGCCUCACCCAGCCACGUAUUUGCUGUGUGACCUCAGGCAAGCUACUUAGCUUCUCCACGCACGUGUGCUCAUCUAGAAAACGAGGCUGAUGCUCGUGCCCACGUGGCAAUGUGAUGAGUAAUGCUAGUACUCAUCUCUGAGGGUGGAUGGGAGAGACACGCAAAGUGUUUGCAAGGGGGCCGGCACCUGGGAGCACUCAUACAUGUUGGCUGUCACUGUCAUGGAGCACCACCGUGUGCCGGGCUCUGCUUGGUGCUCCUGGGCUGCUCACAUGAGCAAGGUGCUGACUCUGCCAAGGAAGGGUGCUUUUUUUUUCUUUUGGAGAAAGAAAAGGGAUGCUUUCUGCUGCUCCCGCCCUGAAAACACUGCGUGCCCCUCUGCUCUUCUCCUACUAGGCUUGAGAAGCAAGACCAGCACACCCUGAGUUGGGGUGUUGCCUCCUAAGCCACUGGCCAGCAAUUCUGGGGGGGGGGGUGGGGACGCUGAAGAGAAUGCGGGGCUCUGCUGGUGCAGCAUGGACCCUCCUUGGUCUGGUGAGCUGGGAGAAGCAGGACAGCAUGGGGUCCAGUGAUACUAACCGUGUGGAAAUAGAACUCCUCCAGAUUACAGGGCACCUGAGAAUUUCUUACUGACUUUUGUUUAAUAAUUCAAAAACACAUCAAAUCAAACUUAAUCAAGGCAAAAGCUGUCUCUGGAGCCUUCUUCGUGCUUCCUGGAGUCAAGCUCUUACAGAAUCACGGCAGCACCCCCCUCCCUAGCUCACGAAGGAAGCUGGAGGACUCCACAGCUGCUUCAGGAAACAGACUGUCCCCAGGGAACCCUUCAGAGAUCUUGGGACCAGACAGGAUGUACCUGGACUCCUGGAAUUCCCUCUCCAGCCUCCAGGUCCCGUGAGGAUGUGAGCUGGAGCAGUACGGGCUUCCCUGAUCCUUCCUGUGUCCAGACAGCCAACAUGUGCCGCGGGAGCCCUGAGAUGAUUCCGAUGCACGGAGGGAGCCGGGAAACGCUGGUAUUUCUGCCUGUCACUUAUUAUCUGGUUGAGCUGGUGGCGGGAGUCCCGGCCCAUGUGUGUUACCAGAGGGAUGGUCUAGAGAAUGAAUCCAUCUGUCAGAGGCAUCCAAGAAGAAAGGCCUGGGCCAGGAUCACAUGGAAGACCCUGAAGACAGGAUCGGGUCUUGCCUGCCUGGAUUGAACAGAGACGCAGUGACCAGUCCCAUCUGCUCCCACCCUGCUGCCCUCUGAAUCGAGAGUUUGAGGCCAUGACCAGGGUAACGUUCAGCUGGUAGAGACAACACAACCCUGCUGGCUGUUUAAGCCAUGCUGGAGUGGUGCUCACAGGGUAACAAUUUUCAAGUGCUACGGAUGCAAUAGCUCAGCGACUGGCAGCGCAGCACGUACCUGCUGUCGUGGGAGGUGAGAGCCACCAGUGCCCGACAGCGGCUGCAAGGCAGUGGUGGCGCUCUGCAGCCAGCCGGCCCACCCCUCCAACAUCUGCAAGGGGGUGGGAGGCUGCCUCACCAAGCUACCUGCUACUCAUGGGGGCGAUGGGCAUCAGGGUGGCCUGCCUGGAGCCCCGAGAGCACAUAGAAGCUGCCAGAUGAGGGCAGUGAGGCCGAGGGCCGGCAGUAGGGCUGCAGAUGCCCUGAGCCCUAAGGUCAAGGUGGAUGGAACUGCUGUGUAAGUCUGAUGCCGAGGAGACCAGGUCGUUGGGCUUUCAGCCCUGCGGCCGCCAAGUCUCAGGUUAGAGCUCCCUCUCGCGGCCGAUGCUGGGCACUACAUUGCCCAAGACCCAGGUGGGCCGAAGUCUUGAGAAAGGGCUCGCAGUCAUCGUCGCCAGCAGGCAGACACCAGGCACCUACCUCCCCGACAUACCCAGCCUGGUACCUCGAAGACCAGUAGCCUUGAGCUACACUUGGGAUUCCCAAUACAGUUUCAAAACCGUCUAGCUCAUCUUUCAGGAACCUUCCAGGGUUCACAUUCUGAUUUUUCAGUAAGGUUCUCACCUCUGUGACCAAUUACCUUGAGACUGAUGUCCUGCACCAUCCUGGAGUGUUGGGAUCUGCAGGUCGUGAAAAGGGAAACCAAGCAAUCACUUUGGAAUGACUUCCUGGAACUUCCCUGGCCCCUCCUUCGUGUUCUCUGAUGACAGCCAGGAGCUGACUCAGAAACCUCAUAAGAAGCUGAAGGCAUGACGACUUCCCUGUUAAAAAAAAAAUGUCCCACGUGUGGCCGAGUGCCACACCCAGGCAGCUGCCGAAAAAAAGCACCAGACACCAUGCAGCUGGGCCCCAGGGCCCGGCCCAACCCGGUUGGCCUUCUCCGGCACCUGCAGGGAACUUGUCCUGUCUUGUCUCUGCUCGCCCCCUGCUGGCUGCCUGGAGCCAUUCCGUGCUGGUUUCUUCGCGUCUUCUGUCAGGAGAGAGAUGCUGAUGCUUACUCAGGGAUCCGGCGGCUGUGACCCUGAGGCCCCGAGGUGGAUUAACAGAGCCCUCAGCACCGAGUCUCCAAGCUGAAGGCAGUGGUCACACUCCCUGCUGCCCUCCAGGUUUGGAGGGAUGGAGAGGAGAGAGGAGGGGAAGAAGCUACCUUCUUCACUAGCCUUGCUGAGAGACAAGUGGGUACGGCCCACAGGCACCUCCACCAGCCUGCCCUCUACAUCCAGAUUCGCAAG